rnacentral:rRNA from 1 species
GAUGAACGCUGGCGGCGUGCCUAAUACAUGCAAGUCGAACGCGAGCAGCAAUGCUCGAGUGGCGAACGGGUGAGUAAUACAUAAGUAACCUGCCCUAGACAGGGGGAUAACUGCUGGAAACGGCAGCUAAGACCGCAUAGGUAUGGACACUGCAUGGUGACCAUAUUAAAAGUGCCAAGGCACUGGUAGAGGAUGGACUUAUGGCGCAUUAGCUGGUUGGUGAGGUAACGGCUCACCAAGGCGACGAUGCGUAGCCGACCUGAGAGGGUGACCGGCCACACUGGGACUGAGACACGGCCCAGACUCCUACGGGAGGCAGCAGUAGGGAAUUUUCGGCAAUGGGGGGGAACCCUGACCGAGCAACGCCGCGUGAAGGAAGAAGGAAUUCGUUCUGUAAACUUCUGUUAUAAAGGAAGAACGGCGGAUAUAGGGAAUGAUAUCCGAGUGACGGUACU